UAAUCUGCCUUGGAGUGGGGAAUAACGGCUGGAAACAGCGCUAAUACCGCAUGAAACAGUUGGGAGGCAUCUCUCUGACUGUCAAAGAUUUAUCGCUCUGAGAUGAGCUCGCGUCUGAUUAGCUAGUUGGCGGGGCAACGGCCCACCAAGGCGACGAUCAGUAGCCGGACUGAGAGGUUGGCCGGCCACAUUGGGACUGAGACACGGCCCAGACUCCUACGGAAGGCAGCAG
rnacentral:rRNA from 1 species